UACAACAGACGAGUGUUGAGGAGAGGUAGAAUCCAUCCUGUCUGACCUGUAACAACAGACGAGUGGUGAGGAGAGGUAGAAUCCAUCCUGUCUGACCUGUAACAACAGACGAGUGGUGAGGAGAGGUAGAAUCCAUCCUGUCUGACCUGUACAACAGACGAGUGGUGAGGAGAGGUAGAAUCCAUCCUGUCUGACCUGUACAACAGACGAGUGGUGAGGAGAGGUAGAAUCCAUCCUGUCUGACCUGUAACAACAGACGAGUGGUGAGGAGAGGUAGAAUCCAUCCUGUCUGACCUGUACAACAGACGAGUGGUGAGGAGAGGUAGAAUUCAUCCUGUCUGACCUGUACAACAGACGAGUGGUGAGGAGAGGUAGAAUCCAUCCUGUCUGACCUGUACAACA